AAUUAAGGAUCGCAUCCUUACCGAGCUGCUCGUGCAGGGGAAAGCCCAGUUUACUUAGGCGCUCAAUCAUUUCGAUCAUGUACAGUACAUGAUCAGUGACUGAGGCUCCAUCCCUCAUCCGAGUAUUGAAAAUGGCACAACUAGUUUUGUGCCUUUCAAUGUCGUCAGGCAUGCCAAAGGAGUCGUUCAACAUUUGAAGCAUCUCCUGUGGUUGGGCAUUCUCGAACCUGCGGUUGAACUCAUCAUUCAUUACCGCCAGCAUAAUGC
rnacentral:lncRNA from 1 species